rfam:Gymnopus luxurians FD-317 M1 unplaced genomic scaffold GYMLTscaffold_65, whole genome shotgun sequence.
GGUCAAGUAGCUCAGUUAGUUAGAGCACUGUCUCCAGAAGGUGGCAGGGACCUGGGUUCAAUUCCCAGCUUGGUCA